rnacentral:rRNA from 2 species
UGGAGAACUGAGGGGGGCUGCUCCUAGUACGAGAGGACCGGAGUGGACGCAUCACUGGUGUUCGGGUUGUCAUGCCAAUGGCACUGCCCGGUAGCUAAAUGCGGAAGAGAUAAGUGCUGAAAGCAUCUAAGCACGAAACUUGCCCCGAGAUGAGUUCUCCCUGAGACUUAGAGUCUCCUGAAGGAACGUUGAAGACGACGACGUUGAUAGGCCGGGUGUGUAAGCGCAGCGAUGCGUUGAGCUAACCGGUACUAAUGAACCGUGAGGCUUAACCUUACAACGCCGAAG